GAAAAGGAAACGCCAAGACAUAGAAAACCACGCUUUUCCCGUAGGAAGAACCGAUGAUGAGCCCUGAUGAAAGAAGGAAGAAGACCCGCUGUCUGCGAAGGCCUAAAGGCCGCGGUUGCCAGGAACCGUGGAGGGCCAACUCCUCCCAACCGCCCUGGUGCAAAGUCCCACGCGGCGAAGAGUUUUGGAGCAGCGCUUACCUAGAAAGAUGUUUAAAUUCUGAACCAGGAAUUGUCUCCAACUCCAGGCGCUCAGGGAAUCGCCUUUUCCGGUGUCCAGGCGCUCUGCAGACAAAUAAACAGCAGAAGCAAAUGGUCACCGAGCCGGCAGUCAGCUUUCUGGGAGUGGGAGAUGAUGGGGAAAGAGGAAAGAAUCGUCCGCUCGCCGGACCCUGGCUUGGAGAAGUUCUGCGCUCCGCUGGGACUCUGCGGGCCCUUUGCGUCUACAGACCUAUCCCUGCCCCGACUACCCCUUCACUCAGACCCAGGGAAGGACACGUUUCUAUGCCUUACAGAGACUUGAAGCCUGAAAGCCUGGCCAAGUUUGGGAAGAAGAGGAGCCCUCUCAGAGCUCAAGAGCCUUCCUACUCUUUGGAACUUUUCCACAGUAGGCCAAGCUUGACAAGAGUUCAGCUCAAGUUGAACAUACAUACACACACUCUCACACACAAAUUAUGUGAGCCGUCAGAAUCCAAGUGAAUCCAGCUCAAGCUAUCUACAAGGUUUUUACAUGCAAGGUCAAGUAUCUCAAUCCAGAGGACUUUUGUUUUCUUAAUGAAAAGCUUAGAAAACACAUGAAUCUUAGAUUUUUAAUGUUUUUUAAAUGGAGUUUAUUCUUAGCACAUGGCUUUCUAUGUAGCCACAUCACAAUUUGUACAGUUCCACAUAAGUCUAAAUGCACUCCCCUCUCCCCAAAGACCGUGCCCCAGAAGGGGACAACAGUAUCUCUGUAACAGUGUCUUAAAUAAAUGCAAGUAAGAAAAACUAACAUGUCACACCUACCAUCAAGGUCUACACAUCUUAAGAAUUAAAUAAUCUUGUGAGGUCCA